rnacentral:misc_RNA from 1 species
GGUAGCGGGCUUGCUCGCGAUAGCAUCACCUCGGUGCAUCAGUUACACCGGGUUGCCUGUAUCGCGAGCAAGCCCGCCCCC